rnacentral:rRNA from 1 species
UUACCAGACUCCUACGGGAGGCAGCAGUGAGGAAUAUUGGUCAAUGGGCUUACGCCUGAACCAGCCAAGUCGCGUGAGGGAAGACUGCCCUAUGGGUUGUAAACCUCUUUUGUCAGGGAGCAACGCCGGCUACGUGUAGCCGGACUGAGAGUACCUGACUAAGAAGCCCCGGCUAACUACGUGCCAGCAGCCGCGGUAAUACGUAGGGGGCAAGCGUUAUCCGGAUUUACUGGGUGUAAAGGGAGCGUAGACGGCGGCGCAAGUCCGGAGUGAAAGCCCACGGCCCAACCGUGGGACUGCUCUGGAAACUGUGCGGCUUGAGUGCGGGAGGGGCAGGCGGAAUUCCUAGUGUAGCGGUGAAAUGCGUAGAUAUUAGGAGGAACACCGGCGGCGAAGGCGGCCUGCUGGACCGUAACUGACGUUGAGGCUCGAAAGCGUGGGGAGCAAACAGGAUUAGAUACCCGAGUAAG